AGUGAACGCUGGCGGUAGGCCUAACACAUGCAAGUCGAACGGCAGCACAGGAGAGCUUGCUCUCUGGGUGGCGAGUGGCGGACGGGUGAGGAAUGCAUCGGAAUCUACUCUUUCGUGGGGGAUAACGUAGGGAAACUUACGCUAAUACCGCAUACGACCUACGGGUGAAAGCCGGGGACCUUCGGGCCUGGCGCGAAUGAAUGAGCCGAUGCCCGAUUAGCUAGUUGGCGGGGUAAGAGCCGACCAAGGCGACGAUCGGUAGCUGGUCUGAGAGGAUGAUCAGCCACACUGGAACUGAGACACGGUCCAGACUCCUACGGGAGGCAGCAGUGGGGAAUAUUGGACAAUGGGCGCAAGCCUGAUCCAGCCAUACCGCGUGGGUGAAGAAGGCCUUCGGGUUGUAAAGCCCUUUUGUUGGGAAAGAAAAGCAAUCGGUUAAUACCCGGUUGUUCUGACGGUACCCAAAGAAUAAGCACCGGCUAACUUCGUGCCAGCCGCCGCCGUAACAC
rnacentral:rRNA from 1 species